GAUUUUGGUGCAAUAUACAAGGUGUAGCAUAUUAUUAAGGAAGGUGCGACGAGAAAGUUACAUACUGGUAAUUCUUGGUAAAUGGUGGAGGUUUGAUUCAAAUCUUCAUACCCAAAUAUAUUUGUUACACUUAUAAAAUUAUAUUAAUUGUGUUGAAUUUAUUUCAGGUUCAUAAUUAGUAUACUAAUUAUACGCUGUGCUGCAUUCAUCAUUUUGAGAGCAUUCUAUUUCGAUUCAUAAGGAGGAGUAGCUUCAGUUUUGAUCACAACUAAAUUAGUGUUGUUAUAUCAGGUAAUCAGGGGUAGCGGGGAUCGUGAUGAGUGACACCCACCUUUAGUUGCUUUCGUUGUUAGGGGCUAUAAUAAGACUUUAGAGCUUAUAUUUCUAUUGAUUUCAGACUUUGUUGGAUUUAUUAUCAUGGAGUUUCAGACUUUAUUAUCCAUAUUGACAUUUUGGUUGUUAAAUUAUUAUAUUAUUUCUGAAUGAA